AAAAAUGGUGGGUGGCGGUGCAUUGUAUAGCAGCAAUGUGCUGCUCACACAGCGAAAGAGAGGAAGUGGUAAAAGUGAAAAGAAUUCGCAGGCAGCCGCUAUACUUUUGUGCUGCGGCAAUAUUUUAUUAUUAAAAUAAAUAACUUAACUUCGAAGCGUUCGCCGUUUCGCAAGGGGUUGGAGGGUGUGUACGGCAGACAAAUGGUUGUUGAAAGCAAAAGUGUAGGCGGCGACAGCGGCGGUGGGCGGUCGAUACCAAACCACAAAUAUUUGUACAUCCAGCCACAUUGAGCAUUAUUAAUCUGUUUGGCCAACAAGCAGUCGUGUAACAAACGAAUUAUUUUGGUAAAAAGUAAUUAAGAGAGCAACAAAGAAUGUAGAAUGUUGGGAUAAAGUAUAGAAGAUGAAAUGUAGUAGGAGAAGAAAUGACGUUUAACACUCAAAGCUUAUUAUUUUUGUAUUUUGUGUCAGUUACAAUGUUAUAUUAACAAAUAUCAGGAGAAAAACAGAUGACGAUUAUUAACUGAGUAAGAAAAAAUAUAUAGAAUAUUUGUAUAUUACAUUUGUAAGUAGCAAUGUUCGCAAUAUGAUGCAAUCAAGUUCCGAGUAAUAAAAUUGUAAGUCAUAAUAACUUAGCAACCCUUGAGGAAAUAGUUAUUUUUGUAUCAAGUAAUUCGUAUUUGUAAUUUUUAUGUGUAAAGGACAUUUGUAACACCAAAAGUUGAAAAAUCUCAUUAAAUGAAAAAUAUUUCUCUUGACAGGAGUUUUUUGGAUAGUCAAAAUCUAAGAUAAGAUGCCAGGUGUUAUGUGUUAGGACAUUUUGAGAGGAGAUCAAAUUGCAAAAUAAUGAUCCAAUGACCAAAAUCGUGGCUUCCGGAUAAAAUAAGGGGAAUUAUAAGCGAGCAUUUAUAGUGUCGAAACCAAUAAAUAAGUCUUUUUAUCUGAUGAAUAGAGUAAAAUGACUCCGCAGCAAUGGUUUUCUACGCCACUUUACAAUAAAGUAAAAAAUAAAAAAAUCAAUAAACUUACAAAAUAACAAAUAAAAUUAAUGCUUACUUGUGCAUCAUUAAAAUAAAGUAUAAAUAUCUCAGCAAAGUAUAUUAUAGUUGAUCAAUAAACAAAAGUAUGCAAUUGUUUAUUAAAUAAAUAAUGAAAAAUAUAUACAUAUAGAGAUUUUAUGUUGAUUUUGAAUUCAAGAACAAUAUGAAGAUAUAUUUAAUGAUGACCGCAAUAACAAAGCUAUGCAAACUAACACACAUAUGUACAUAUGUAUAUCGCAGUAAUGAGAUACUCUUGUAUUUAUGCCGGUACGGCUUCAUGUAUACAAAUCUCUCAACAUAUAAGCCGCGUGUACUUUUUUUGCUUCAAAUAUAUGCACAAUGCUAAAGAGUUGUGCACAAAAGCCGAGCUAAAAUUAAACUAGAACGUGUUACUUCUAAAAUUAAUAAAACAAAGCUUUUACUGUCUGCUAGUUUAAAGGAAUUCGCUGGGAUUUCUGGUAUCAGUUACAGGUUUCACACUAAUUUUAUUUAUUUAUUUUUAUUCCAAAUUAAAAAUGCUAUUAGAAAGCUUUUGCAUACAUUUCCAUAUUGUAUAUUUGAGAAAAACUGGAAUAUAAAGUGAUUUCAACUAAUUGGAGAUUAAUGCAUAAUUCAUGAUUUUCAGUCUAUGUAGCUAAGGCCUUGCAUAAAUCAUUUCUCUGACAUGUAUUUGAUAAAGAUAGUUGUAGCAGCUGAAAAAAGCAGCGAAUUGUUAAAAUUAGAUUUGAAAGUUUAAACAAGUUUCUAUCGAAAAAUUUAUGGUUUUCAAAAAUGUAUGCUAACAAGUCUGGUUCACUCAAAAAAAAAAUAAUAAUAAUAUUGCUUUCCAUUUUUUAAUAUCUUAACACUAAACAUAUAAAAUGAGUAGCUUUUUAUUUAUUAGUUCUUUAAUAUUUUUAAGUGCUUCAUUCAAGGCAUUUAAUCUUAAAGGCUAAAACAAGUAUUCUUACCAACCCACAAAAAUCGUACAGGAAGUUAACGUCAUUACUUUAUAAGCAAUUGCCCGUUGAGAUUAAACGGAUUUUUUAAUUUUAAACAUUAUUCAUACAUAUCUAUCAUAAAAUCUAGAUUUAUUGGUUUUCAAUAUUAUCAUUAUUUUAUUCCAUUAGUAUUAACGAAAACAUCUCCAGCAAAUUCAUCAUUCAAUCAAUUUCCACAUAAAUCGUUUUCAAAUAUUCAUGUUGUCAAAGUCUUAUUUAGGUUAAUGCCUUCUUUCUAAUUCCCGGUUGUUAGCAUUCACUGCAUGUACGAACCUACAAAUUUAUUUGUGAACUCAAGUAAGGUUUAAACUUUCCAAAUUACUUGCUGAUAACUGACUCAAAACCUUUUUGUAUUUGCAACAAAGUAAUUGUGAAAUUUUAGUCUUGGAAACAAAAACAAUUUUAAAGCCUUAAGCAAAUAAUUCAGAAGAUUGAAUUUGACUUAAAUCAUGAAUGAAUUGACAAAGAGGUAGAUGUGAUUGUGAACUUUUCUUAAACAAAAAAAUUAACUUAUUCUUCACAUUCUUAACAGCUUAUUGUUAUUACCAAGCUGCCCUGUAUACUGAUAAGUAGGCAUAAAUAGGUUAAUAGGAAUAGAUGGCCGUUUAGAAAGAAAGCCCCAGUGCCCUACUUAUGACCAAGUUAUGCCUAAUUGUGUUUGAAAUUUCGAUCUGCUAUUUAUAUUUCUAACGUCUCUCACAGUCGUGAAAGCAACAAAUUGACAAAAAGAAAUAUUAUUAAAUAUGUGUAUUAAUUAUAAUAAAAAAAA